AUGAAUGCAACUUUAAAAAAGAAGGCUUCAUAUACAUGGCAGAGUAUUAUGGCCGGAGUUGAUAUGCUCAGACAUGGGUAUAUUUGGAGAGUUGGUGAUGGUGAGAAAAUUAGCAUAUGGGAUGAUCCCUGGAUACCGCAGAGCCCAACAAGAAAUGUGAUUUCACCAAGGGGCAACAAUCUUAUUUCUAGAGUUUCUGACCUCAUUGAUCCGGUGACAGGGAGUUGGAAUGAGCAGCUGGUUAACCAAACAUUCUGGCAAGUGGAUGUUCGAAGGAUUUUGGCAAUUCCACUACCAUUACAUGAGAUGGCAGAUUUCUUGGCAUGGAACAUGACAAAGUCAGGGACUUUCACAGUGUGA
rnacentral:rRNA from 1 species